rnacentral:rRNA from 1 species
GUGGGGAAUAUUGCACAAUGGGCGAAAGCCUGAUGCAGCAACGCCGCGUGAGGGACGACGGCCUUCGGGUUGUAAACCUCUUUUAGUAGGGAAGAAGCGAAAGUGACGGUACCUGCAGAAAAAGCACCGGCUAACUACGUGCCAGCAGCCGCGGUAAUACGUAGGGUGCAAGCGUUAUCCGGAAUUAUUGGGCGUAAAGUGCUCGUAGGCGGUCUGUCGCGUCUGCUGUGAAAACUGGAGGCUCAACCUCCAGCCUGCAGUGGGUACGGGCAGACUAGAGUGCGGUAGGGGAGAUUGGAAUUCCUGGUGUAGCGGUGGAAUGCGCAGAUAUCAGGAGGAACACUGAUGGCGAAGGCAGAUCUCUGGGCCGUAACUGACGCUGAGGAGCGAAAGCGUGGGGAGCGAACAGGAUUAGAUACCCCAGUAGUCC